rnacentral:rRNA from 1 species
UACGGAGGGUGCAAGCGUUAUCCGGAAUCACUGGGUUUAAAGGGUGCGUAGGCGGUCUGAUAAGUCAGUUGUGAAAUUCCUCGGCUUAACCGAGUGGACUGCGAUUGAUACUGUGAGACUUGAAUCAGGUUGAGGUAGGCGGAAUGUGACAUGUAGCGGUGAAAUGCUUAGAUAUGUCAUAGAACACCGAUUGCGAAGGCAGCUUGCUAGACCUGGAUUGACGCUGAGGCACGAAAGCGUGGGGAGCAAACAGG